ensembl:lncRNA
CUUCUCUCUGGUGGGUUCGUGCUGUCGCCAGAGUCCCCACAUGGAAUGUGGAGUGAGGCCCUGCCUAAUGGAGGCUCUCAGUGUGUGUCUCUGCCUGGACUGGAGCCGGGCGGCUUGGGCACCGUCUCCCUGGCCAGCUUUGCAGCUUGCUUCAAAUAAUCAAUCAAAUGCAUCUGAGAGCACAGGCAACAUGACAAGCUCACAAGGAGAUGUUUCACUUUGAUGGAAAAUUUCAAGACAAAAAAAAGAAAAAAAUUAUGACAGCCUACUUUGGGAGAGCCGCUCUUUGGAUUGUGGCUGGAGCUGUCAUCACGACUCACUACACAUUUCUCAACUCCAAGGCUUCAUAACUGGGUCCAUCUCUGCUGCUCUGUGGUGAGCAAAAGACUGGAAAAAAAAAAAGGUAACUGAAGAAAUAGGGCCUUAGCUAUAUGAAGUACAUUGGCGGUGAGGGGAAGAACCCAGCGAAAGGAUGGCAAAAUUUUGCCCGUAAUAAUGAAGCCAGAUAUUUCAAGAUUCAAGUCAAAGAUUUAAUAAAUGGAGAAACGAAUG